rfam:Phage phi OH2 DNA, complete genome.
UUUUAGCAUUUGUAGACGUUAAAGAACAAAGCGGUUCGUGGCCGUAACCACGUAAAAAAACGUA